UAUUUGGAGGACAGGCAGGUAGAUCUGCAGCUGUAAAACCCGAGGCCCCGAGGCGGGCUUGCACAGCUCCCCUGGCUCUCCGUCCACGUCCACGUCUCUGCUGUCCACUGCUCCUAGAGCACCUUUCGACUCUUGGAAACAGGAACUGCCAGUUAAAAAGAAUACUACCUAUUUUAUUGAGCCUGAAGGGUUGAGGACAUCACAGACCAGAGACUUUGACCAGCCAGAAAAAGAGAGAUGACAGCAACUGAGAUGAAAGGGUCCUGAAAUCACAUCACAUCCCUGCGCCCAACUCUGCGGAGCGAGGCCCUGUCAAGGCUCCGGGUCUCCUGGCGACCUCUCAAACCUCAUUUCCCACCCCCGCCCCCUGACUGUCUGCCCUCCAGCGUCCCCGACCUCCUUG
rnacentral:lncRNA from 1 species